rnacentral:lncRNA from 10 species
UACAUGAUUUAAAAGUAAACAUUUAAAGAUUAACCAUUAACAGAGACAGACGUGGAUGGAGACACAGGACACAGGUUUGGGGGAGAAGACCCUUCUUCCGGCGUGGUGGACUGUGCAAGGCUCUGAUGUGUGGACACCAGAAGCUCCGUGGCUGGCUUCUCAGCCUCCACGUUCUCUUGUAGAGCAGCAGCAUCUGUGAAUUUUCACAAAGUGGAGCUCCUGAAAGAGACCGGGCAAAUGGGAACUAAGGAGGAAAAAACGAAAGGCGGACACACUCAGUGACCUCUGGGGCAGGUGAGCGGUGGCCUCACCUGACACCCGCCCGCGGGGAUGCACCCAGCAUGAGGGGAAGUAUCUUGAGGGGAGUGGUCUGUCUCUGACUGCUGGGGAGGACGUGGACAUGCGUGGACUACGUUACAUCGGAGAAGUUUCAGCCUCCUAAACGCCUAUCAUCUGGCUCUGCCCACUGAGAGGGCCCAAGAGCAUCGAGCUCGCCAAGGGUCCGGAGCUUGGUUUCCAAAUCUCAUUCUCCACUGACGAGAACCAGGGUCCCGGAGAAAGAGCCGAGUCCAAGACCGAGGCGGGGGAGCCUUGAUGCCUUAGAGAGUGAGAAAGUCUUCAGAGAACGCUGGUGCGCGUUCAGAGACACUUAAACAGCUCAAAGAGGCUCCCAUCAGCCAGAGCUGGGACCAUUUUACAGCCAAACUGAGUGACCGUAGUAAAGUAUUGUGAUAAUUAACACGAUAAAAAUCCAUGAGUUUAGCCUGGUGUGGUGGCACCGUGGAGGCCAGAAGAUCCCUUGAGCCCAGGAGUUUGAGGCCAGCCUGGGCAUCCAGCCAGACCUGUCGCUACAAAAAGGAAAAACAAAAAAGACUCUAUAAGUCUAUACUGAUAUAAUUGAAACAAAUAAAUAAGUGGUGUUAGUAAGUGACUGAUUAAAUAAAUAAAUGAAAAGGAAAAGUUUUCACUCACAGCAGAAUGACAGCAAAUAAAUAUAGAAGGAACGGGUGGUGAGUUUAGAAAAUCAUGAGUGAAAAGAAACAGGACAAAAAGUAUCUUCCCACGAGUUACUCACUUAUUAGUUACAAAUGGAAAUGUUAUAACUUUGGUGGAGAAAACUGGCCAACAGCCCCUUAACCACGUGAUCAAAGUCAGCAUCAGCAUGGAGGCAGGACCGCCUCGCCUGCACCGGGGUAUUAACAGGAAGCCUGGAGAGGCCACUGGGGCUUCAGCGUGCUGCUGCUGCACAGACAACACCUGCAUGGGACGUGGAGGAGGCAUCAGCAAACCCAGAUUGAGGGGGCUGGAAGAAAUCACUGGGCUGAACUCGGAGUGUGUCAAGGUAGGAGAGAUAAAGACCUCCCGAGGAGCUGCUCCAGGUGAGAGAGGGCGGCAGGUGCGACCACAUAGCAGACGGCAGGUACAACCACACGUGCAGCAGGUGACCCUGCCCCGGGUCUUCUUCCAGGACUCUGAAAAGAGAAGCUGUCAAGGGUAUUGUUGUGUUUUAAUAAAUUGGACACUAGAUAAUACAGUACUUAAUUCAGUAUAUAGAUAAUGGAUUUGAUCAUAGUAUUGCAUUACAAUUAAAUUUCCCAAUACUGAUAACUGUGCUCAGGCUGUCAGGAAAUACACAAUGAAGUAUCUAAAAAUUAGAGAACCACUAUGUCCACAACUUACUAUCAAAUGGAUCAGAAAAAGAUAGAUAGAUAGAUAGAUAGAUAGAUAGAUAGAUAGAUAGAUGAUUAGAUAGAUUAGAUAGAUAGAUAAUGUGAUGGGGCAAAAUGUACCAGUUGAUGUGUCUGGGUAACACAUUGUCUACAGUUGUAAAAAUUAUUCUUAUAACAUUUCCAUAAGUUUGAUAUAUCAAAAUUUCAAAAAUACAAAUAAUUUCAUCCUCCAAAAAUGGCAACAAUAAAUGAAGGAAUGAAUAAAUCGAACUUGAGUAAAAGUUUACUUUUAUUUAUGAAAAGACAUAUGAGAGUGAGAAAGCAAGGCGAUGUCUGUGUGCAUGUGUGUUACAAAAGAGUUGUCCACGUAGCUCAUAAAUAUAUAAGCAGCUUUGCACCACCCAUGGACAUAGAAAUUGGUGCAACCACUUUGGAAAAGUGUUUGGUGAUAUCUACAAUGGAGAAACACACACACAUACACACAUACACACACAUGCACUUGUGAGUUAGUAGUUCCACUACUCCCAAUAUAAAUGACUGCUAUGCCCACCAAAAUACAGACACAAAAAUGUUUAUAGCAAUUUUAUUGAUAAGAGCUAAAAAACUAGAAAGAAUCUAACUGUUCAGCUGUAGUUAAAUGGAUAAAUAUGUUGCAUAAUGGAAUAUUAUGUUGCAACAGAAAAUAUAACAAACUGAUUACACUG